rnacentral:rRNA from 1 species
UACGGGGGGGCAAGCGUUGUUCGGAAUUACUGGGCGUAAAGGGCUCGUAGGCGGCCAACUAAGUCAGACGUGAAAUCCCUCGGCUAACCGGGGAACUGCGUCUGAUACUGGAUGGCUUGAGGUUGGGGAGAGGGAUGCGGAAUUCCAGGUGUAGCGGUGAAAUGCGUAGAUAUCUGGAGGAACACCGGUGGCGAAGGCGGCAUCCUGGACCAAUUCUGACGCUGAGUGAGCGAAAGCCAGGGGAGCAA